GCUCCAGGCACCAGCCGACCAAGCACGUGCUUGGGGCGGCACCUUGGGGCAGAAAGAUGACCAUGGAACUACAUGAUAUUAUUGGACAAAGAUGGUGCUAAAUGAUGUCCUUAUAUCCUUGGAUUGUGGCAUUCCUUCAGAACAAAAACAAAUUUUUCAAAUCUCAAAUCUUGCCUGGAAAUGGAACUGUCCUCCUGUCAGCUCUACUAGCCAGUGCCUAGGAAUUCCAGAUGGAGAGUGAAUGUGCACACACCUCUUUGGAAACGUCCCCUUGUCCUGCCCUGACAAUCCUUCCUCCGACGCUCCAGCUUGACCUCAACACUAUGGCCAACCUACCAUCUGGGGCAAUGAUCUAGGAAGGAGGCAGAGAUGAGAGACACACUAUUUGUGAGAUGCAAGCAGCUGCAAUCAACCUGACUGCUUCGUAUGGUGGCUCACAGGAUGGAAAAAUUGGUUGAACAAUAUAAUUAGCAAAUGUAAUUGCUAUUACAGCCUGAGUUGUUGGUUCAAUAAUUAGCAAGGAAGAC